rnacentral:rRNA from 1 species
AAAGCUGGCGUCUUCGGCGUCCGCAUUGUAAUCUCAAGAAGUGUUUUCCGCUUCGGACCAUGCCUAAGUCCCUUGGAAAAGGGCAUCAUAGAGGGUGAUAAUCCCGUACAUGGCAUGGAGCGCCCGAAGCUUUGUGAUACGCUUUCUAAGAGUCGAGUUGUUUGGGAAUGCAGCUCAAAAUGGGUGGUAAAUGCCAUCUAAGGCUAAAUAUUGGGGAGAGACCGAUAGCGAACAAGUACAGUGAUGGAAAGAUGAAAAGAACUUUGAAAAGAGAGUUAAACAGUACGUGAAAUUGCCAAAAGGGAAGGGUAGGAGGUCAGAGAUGCGGCCUGGGAUUCAGCCUUGCUUUUGCUUGGUGUUUUUCCCAGAUUGCAGGCCAACGUCGGUUUUGGGCACUGGAGAAGGGUAGGAGGAACGUGGCACCUCUCGGGGUGUGUUAUAGCCUCCUACUGGAUACAGCGACCGAGACCGAGGACAGCAGCGUACUCGCAAGAGCGGGCCUUCGGGCACCUUUACGCUUAGGGCGUUGGCAUAAUGGCCCUCUACACCCGUCUU